rnacentral:rRNA from 1 species
AGAAUCAACGCUGGCGGCGUGCCUAACACAUGCAAGUCGAACGCGAAAGCCCCGCAAGGGGUCAGUAGAGUGGCAAACGGGUGAGUAACACGUGGGUGAUCUGCCUCAGAGUGGGGGAUAACGACCCGAAAGGGUCGCUAAUACCGCAUAACAUCCUGCGCUUGGAUGCGUGGAGAUCAAAGUUGGGGAUUCGCAAGAACCUGACGCUUGGAGAGGAGCCCGCGGCCGAUUAGCUAGUUGGUGAGGUAACGGCUCACCAAGGCAACGAUCGGUAUCC